rnacentral:rRNA from 1 species
CCUACGGGGGGCUGCAGUGAGGAAUCUUCCACAAUGGGCGAAAGCCUGAUGGAGCAACGCCGCGUGCAGGAUGAAGGCCUUCGGGUUGUAAACUGCUUUUAUUAGUGAGGAAUAUGACGGUAACUAAUGAAUAAGGAUCGGCUAACUACGUGCCAGCAGCCGCGGUCAUACGUAGGAUCCGAGCGUUAUCCGGAGUGACUGGGCGUAAAGAGUUGCGUAGGUGGUUAGUAAAGCGAAUAGUGAAAUCUGGGGGCUCAACCUCACAGGCUAUUAUUCGAACUCACUAACUCGAGAGUGGUAGAGGUAACUGGAAUUUCUAGUGUAGGAGUGAAAUCCGUAGAUAUUAGAAGGAACACCAAUGGCGUAGGCAGGUUACUGGACCAUUUCUGACACUGAGGCACGAAAGCGUGGGGAGCGAACCGGCUUAGAUACCCGGGUAGUC